rnacentral:rRNA from 1 species
GACGAACGCUGGCGGCGUGCUUAACACAUGCAAGUCGAACGGAAAGGCCCUGCUUUUGUGGGGUGCUCGAGUGGCGAACGGGUGAGUAACACGUGAGUAACCUGCCCUUGACUUUGGGAUAACUUCAGGAAACUGGGGCUAAUACCGUAUAGGAGCUCCUGCUGCAUGGUGGGGGUUGGAAAGUUUCGGCGGUUGGGGAUGGACUCGCGGCUUAUCAGCUUGUUGGUGGGGUAGUGGCUUACCAAGGCUUUGACGGGUAGCCGGCCUGAGAGGGUGACCGGCCACAUUGGGACUGAGAGACGGCGCAGACUCCUACGGGAGGCAGCAGUGGGGAGUAUUGCACAAUGGGAGGAAGCCUGAUGCAGCAACGCCGCGUGCGGGAUGACGGCCUGCGGGUUGUAAACCGCUUUCGCCUGUGACGAAGCGUGAGUGACGGUAAUGGGUAAAGAAGCACCGGCUAACUACGUG